rnacentral:rRNA from 1 species
GAUGAACGCUGGCGGCGUGCCUAAUACAUGCAAGUCGAGCGAACAGAUAAGGAGCUUGCUCCUUUGACGUUAGCGGCGGACGGGUGAGUAACACGUGGGUAACCUACCUAUAAGACUGGGAUAACUUCGGGAAACCGGAGCUAAUACCGGAUAAUAUUUCGAACCGCAUGGUUCGAUAGUGAAAGAUGGUUUUGCUAUCACUUAUAGAUGGACCCGCGCCGUAUUAGCUAGUUGGUAAGGUAACGGCUUACCAAGGCGACGAUACGUAGCCGACCUGAGAGGGUGAUCGGCCACACUGGAACUGAGACACGGUCCAGACUCCUACGGGAGGCAGCAGUAGGGAAUCUUCCGCAAUGGGCGAAAGCCUGACGGAGCAACGCCGCGUGAGUGAUGAAGGUCUUCGGAUCGUAAAACUCUGUUAUUAGGGAAGAACAUACGUGUAAGUAACUGUGCACGUCUUGACGGUACCUAAUUAGAAAGCCACGGCUAACUACGUG